rnacentral:lncRNA from 1 species
CCAGGCUGUGAGCUCCAGGCCAAGUUCAAGCUCGAAUUCAGUCGCAGGGGUGUCACCUUCAGCUUCGAUGGGUCGGACAGGGCCACCCACACUGGGCAGCUGUCCUGAGGUGAACAGUGUCUCCUGUGUGUUCACGCCAUGACACACAGCCUCACUGCAGGCCCAGAGCCACACUGCCAAUCAACCGUGGAUCGAGACCUCUGAAACUGUGAGCCUGAAUCAACCUUUCCUUCUUAGAAGCUGUUUACCUCAGGCAUUUUGUCACAGUGAUAUUCCAGGAUGGAGCUCGGGCCUCACACAUGCCAGACACUUGCUUUGACUAAGCCACAUCCCAGCCCCACCUGAGCUGAUUUUGAAUAGUGAAUCAGCCUUGCUCAGGCCAAUGCAG